GGCCCUGUGGUGAAGUUCAUGGUGAGUUGCAAGCUCAUUGAUGUAUGUUAAAGCAUGCCGGGGUCU
ensembl:Mt_tRNA